rnacentral:misc_RNA from 1 species
UCCGGUUCAUCACCGGCAGUCUCUUCAGAGUCCCCGCCUCUACGCGCUGGUAACUGAAAACAAGGGUUGCGCUCGUUACGGGACUUAACCCAACAUCUCACAACACGAGCUGACGACAGCCAUGCAGCACCUGUCUCACGGUUCCUCUCGGCACUCCCGCAUCUCUGCAAGAUUCCGUGGAUGUCAAGGGUAGGUAAGGUUCUUCGCGUUGCAUCGAAUUAAACCACAUGCUCCACCGCUUGUGCGGGCCCCCGUCAAUUCCUUUGAGUUUUAACCUUGCGGCCGUACUCCCCAGGCGGAGAACUUAUCGCGUUAGCUUCGAUACCAACAGGCUUCGCCUGCCAACAUCUAGUUCUCAUCGUUUACAGCGUGGACUAC